rnacentral:rRNA from 1 species
UACAGAGGGUGCAAGCGUUAAUCGGAAUUACUGGGCGUAAAGCGUGCGUAGACGGUUAUUUAAGUCAGGUGUGAAAGCCCAGGGCUCAACCUUGGAAUUGCAUUUGAGACUGAAUAGCUAGGGUGCGGAAGAGGGAAGCGGAAUUUCCGGUGUAGCGGUGAAAUGCGUAGAUAUCGGAAGGAACACCAGUGGCGAAAGCGGCUUCCUGGUCCAGCACCGACGUCAGGCACGAAAGCGUGGGGAGCAAACAG